CAUCGUUUUUUUCUAACGGCCGUUCCCAAUAUACUAUCUACAAAUAGAGAUAAAUUACUACCUUCUACUGUCAGUAAUCUGAAGCUGUCCUAAUAUACCCGAUAAGUCAUUCUUAUCGCCUUAUAUUGGGACGCGUGGAAUGCGUGCAAUUACCAUACAAACUUUAUAUCGCUGGUAAGCUAUACGUUGUCCCAUUGACAGACAGCGUGCACGGAUAAGAUGAGUUCCGUCGAUAAGUUUAUUGGGACAGAAAAAACAACGAUAGUUCCGAUUUUUAUCUCAAGUAAGAGAUAGACUGAAUAUUGGGAUCGGCCGUAACAGGCUCCUAAUCUUUGUACUCUGUACCUGGCACCUUUUUGGAAAACACUCGUUGAAUAGAAAAAGGUCAACUUUUCCCAGCAUUUUAUCGACAUUCUCUAUUAAAUCGUGCUUUCUACUUUCAUUAUUAAAAUUAUCUACAAUUACUGUCACAACAUUUCUUAUAGAACAGUUGGCUAAACAAGCCUACGGGUCAUCCAACGGUUAUGACGAUCACCACAGCACAUACUCUUUUGAAACACUUGGGUAAUCCCAGGAGUUCGCCAGCAUAAAUCAAGAGUUUUAUUACAUAAAUUGCCGGCGCAUUGAUAAGGAGACACGCCAUCUUAGUGACGUCAGGUGCAACUCACGACUUUCGAGACAUAUAUACUCAAGGUCAUAGCACACUUACACGACUCUGCUCCAACUCCGCUCCCACCCAACACAAACCUAUACUAAGAAGACUGCUCGCAGUCCACGCGGCGACAGCUAGCAGACAGGCACUAGUCCACCCACCGACCGCUCUCGCUUUUCGCGAUUGACAUUAGACUCAGUUUGCGAUCGGUUUCCAUUGAAGCAACUCGUAUUUUUUACUAUGUCCCGAUUCACAACGCGUGAGCUAGCAAUUAUUGCCAUUGCACUUGAGGAUGAAGAGAGAGGCGCAAGAAAUAACAGACGAAGAUUUUGGGAGCAUGGAGUGCUGAAAGCAAGACAUGCAGAAGGAGAAUUUUGGCAGAUCCAGAGACACCUGUUAGAUGACGAAGAAAAAUUCUAUAUUUACUUUCAUAUGAAUCGGUACUUAUUUGACUACAUAUUAUCAUUUAUUGAAAAAGACAUCACAAAGAAGAAUACGAAAUUCAGACAAGCAAUAACACUAAAAGAAAAAUUUGCUGUCACGUUAAGGUAAGUGAAAGAGAUACUUUUCUUGUAAAUUUGUACAUAUUUAUUGAAAAAAUAAAAUAGUAACAAUCAGUCUCUAAUUUCCAUAAAUUAUCGAUCACAAUGUUACCUCAAAAUUAAUAAACAUUUUUCUGAGUAGCAUUAGGCAAUUCACUGUUCAAUAUCGGUUCUUCUAAAACUGGAGGAUUUUUGUCUGACAGCUCUGCAUUGCCGGUAUUAGAGUCGGAAGAUCAUUAUUGAGGUUAUAAGCCGAAGAUUCUGGAUUACGGGUACUAUAGCCGGAAGGGCCUGCAUUAUGGAGGUUAUAAUCUGAAGAUCCUGGAUUGCAGGUACUAUAGUCGGAAGGGCCUGCAUUAUGGAGGUUAUAAUCUGAAGAUCCUGGAUUGCAGGUACUAUAGUCGGAAGGGCCUGCAUUAUGGAGGUUAUAAUCUGAAGAUCCUGAAUUGCAGGUACUAUAGUCGGAAGGGCCUGCAUUAUGGAGGUUAUAAUCUGAAGAUCCUGGAUUGCAGGUACUAUAGCCGGAAGGGCCUGCAUUAUGGAGGUUAUAAUCUGAAGAUCCUGGAUUGCAGGUACUAUAGCCGGAAGGGCCUGCAUUAUGGAGGUUAUAAUCUGAAGAUCCUGGAUUGCAGGUACUAUAGCCGGAAGGGCCUGCAUUAUGGAGGUUAUAAUCUGAAGAUCCUGGAUUGCAGGUACUAUAGUCGGAAGGGCCUGCAUUAUGGAGGUUAUAAUCUGAAGAUCCUGGAUUGCAGGUACUAUAGCCGGAAGGGCCUGCAUUAUGGAGGUUAUAAUCUGAAGAUCCUGGAUUGCAGGUACUAUAGUCGGAAGGGCCUGCAUUACGGAUGUUAUAAUCCGAAAAUACUAUAUUGUGGGUGUUAUGACUCGAAGGUCCUGUAUUGUGAGUGUUAUCAGUAUUGUGUCGUGAAGACCCAGCAUAGACAUUAGUUUGUUCCUUGAUUUCUUGUAAUUCAAAUUCAGACACCAUAUUGAAUAGAGCGUAUACAACGAGUUACCGAGGCGCGCAAUCUGGGGGUUAUAAUGGAUGAAAGGCUUCGUUUCGAAAACACGUUCUAAAUAUUUCUCAUAAUUGCUUUUACCGUUUAAAGAUUCUUUAUCGCAUAAGAGAUUGUAUUUUACCGGUAGUGCGCAUCAAGCUAUGCAAAGCCCUGGUCUUAUCCAAGUUUAAUUAUGCUGAUACAGUAGUAGGGCCACGCUUACUUGCACAUACCAAGAAUUUAAUACAACGUGUGCAAAACGCAUGUGCACGCUACUGCUUCGACAUUUCACGGCGUGCUCACGUAACACCUUAUUUAAAUAAAAAUAAAAUUUUAAAAAUGGAUUAUCGUAUGCAUUUACACUUUGUUUCGCUUCUUUUCAAUAUAAUAAAGUAUAAAGUGCCGCCAUAUCUUUAUAGUAAAUUACAUUGGUUGAAAGAUAAUACCAGUGAAUACGUCACAAGAGCAUCUAAGUAUAGAUUACAAAUGCCGUUACACAGGAGUGCAGCUUUCCGGGGUAGUUUCAAGUUUACAGCCACUAAAUGUUGGAAUGACUUGCCAUCUCCUCUCUGUGACCUGAAAACAACUUCGAGUUUCAAAUUAAAAUAUAAGACUCUUUUAUUUCAGAAACAAUUAAGCAAUCAAUAACCCAUAAGUCUUAGAAAAACAGUAACUUCAAUUUAUAAUACAUAAAGUAGCAUUACUUGAAACACCCUGGAUCUUUACAAAUUGAAAUUAUAAUAUUUAUUCCCAUGCAUACAUAUUGUACAAACCGACUAUUAUUAUUUAAAAUUAUUCUGAAAAUAUUUGAAAAUACAUUAAUAUUACCUUUUUGUUAUGGCCAAAUAACGUGUCUAUUGCCAAUUUAUUUUUUCUUUCUUCUUAUUCUCUUUAUACCCUGUGUCCGCGAAGUUUACAUUUUUCAACAAUAAACUAUAACUGUAGUUGUGUUAUAAAAAUUUAUAAAUAUCAGAAUAGUGUCAUAUUUUAUUUAUUUUGCUAAUAUAGUUAUAAAAUUUUGCUUUUAGUGUAGAAAUAUAUGACUAUAUAAAUAACUGUUCAUCCAGGACCUGCUCCAUUUUCUUCUACACUUCUUGUAAUUAAAAGUAUAAGGUCACCAAUGGUGGAUAAAUU